rnacentral:rRNA from 1 species
UGGGGAAUUUUGGACAAUGGGCGAAAGCCUGAUCCAGCAAUGCCGCGUGAGUGAAGAAGGCCUUCGGGUUGUAAAGCUCUUUUGUCAGGGAAGAAACGGUGAGGGCUAAUAUCCCUUGCUAAUGACGGUACCUGAAGAAUAAGCACCGGCUAACUACGUGCCAGCAACCGCGGUAAUACGUAGGGUGCAAGCGUUAAUCGGCAUUACUGGGCGUAAAGCGUGCGCAGGCGGUUUUGUAAGUCUGAUGUGAAAUCCCCGGGCUCAACCUGGGAAUUGCAUUGGAGACUGCAAGGCUAGAAUCUGGCAGAGGGGGGUAGAAUUCCACGUGUAGCAGUGAAAUGCGUAGAUAUGUGGAGGAACACCGAUGGCGAAGGCAGCCCCCUGGGUCAAGAUUGACGCUCAUGCACGAAAGCGUGGGGAGCAAACA